CCUACGGGAGGCAGUAGUGGGGAAUAUUGCGCAAUGGGCGAAAGCCUGACGCAGCGACGCCGCGUGAGGGAUGAAGGUCUUCGGAUCGUAAACCUCUGUCAGCAGGGAAGAACGGUCACUGUGCUAAUCAGCAGUGAAUUGACGGUACCUGCAAAGUAAGCACCGGCUAACUCCGUGCCAGCAGCCGCGGUAAUACGGAGGGUGCGCGCGUUAAUCGGAAUUACUGGGCGUAAAGCGCUCGUAGGCGGUAUGUCAAGUCAAGGGGGAAAUCCCCGCGCUCAACGUGGGAACUGCCUUUGAAACUGGCAAACUGGAGUGUGUGAGAGGAUAGUGGAAUUCCAGGGGUAGGAGUGAAAUCCGUAGAUAUCUGGAGGAACAUCAGUGGCGAAGGCGACUAUCUGGCACAUAACUGACGCUGAGGAGCGAAAGCGUGGGUAGCAAACAGGAUUAGAUACCCUGGUAGUC
rnacentral:rRNA from 1 species